rnacentral:misc_RNA from 1 species
UGUUAUUGUUGUUGUUGUUAUUGUUGUUGGGAGGGUGAUUGUUAAAUGCUUUUGAAUCAACUACCAAACCAAAUUAAGCAGAAAAUUUAGUUUAGUUUGAUUUAGUAUUUAAAUACAUUUCAAUUAUUAAGGUUUUGAUAAUUAAAAAAAAAUUGAAUCAAACUUAUCAAUGCAUACCCUUAGUUUGAGAUCAAGUAUUCGAUCUCAUUUGUCUUCCCAUCUUAAUAAUAGUUUUGAGGAAGUAUUAGAAAGGGCAUUCAAAGUUGAAGUUGAUAUGAAGAAGCUAUGAUGCUUGGAAACAGCAUGGGGUGGCAUUUCCCCAUGCCAAAAAUGUUUUAAAACCAGAAAUAUAAAGACAUGUGCAAGACAAUUUUAG